AUUGAACGCUGGCGGCAGGCCUAACACAUGCCAUUCGGGCGAGCGGCGGACGGGUGAGUAAUGUCUGUGGAUCUGCCUUAUGGAGGGGGCUCACUACUGGACACUGUAGCUAAUACCGCAUACCAUCAGAUGAACCCAUAUGGGAUUAUCUUGUAGGUGGGGUAACGGCUCACCUAUGCGACGAUCCCUAGCGGGGCUGAGAGGAUGAUCAGCCACACUGGGACUGAGACACGGCCCAGACUCCUAAGGUAGGCAGAAGUGGGGAAGAUUGGACAAUGGGCGCAAGCCUGAUGCAGCCAUGCCGCGUGUAUGAAGAAGGCCUUCGGGUUGUAAAGUACUUUCAGUCGGGAGGCGUUACCGACAGAAGAAGCACCGGCUAACUCCGUGCCAGCAGCCGCGGUAAUAC
rnacentral:rRNA from 1 species